rfam:Camelus ferus unplaced genomic scaffold scaffold159, whole genome shotgun sequence.
GAGGGUAUAGCUCAGUGGUAGAGUGCCUGCCUAGCACGCAUGAGGUCCUGGGUUCAACCCCCGGUAUCUCCA